CCUACGGGAGGCAGCAGUGAGGAAUAUUGGUCAAUGGACGAGAGUCUGAACCAGCCAAGUAGCGUGAAGGAUGACUGCCCUAUGGGUUGUAAACUUCUUUUAUAAAGGAAUAAAACGAGGCACGUGUGCCUUUUUGCAUGUACUUUAUGAAUAAGGAUCGGCUAACUCCGUGCCAGCCGCCGCGGUAAUACGGAGGAUCCGAUCGUUAUCCGGAUUUAUUGGGUUUAAAGGGAGCGUAGAUGGGUUGUUAAGUCAGUUGUGAAAGUUUGCGGCUCAACCGUAAAAUUGCAAUUGAUACUGGCAGUCUUGAGUACAGUUGAGGUAGGCGGAAUUCGUGGUGUAGCGGUGAAAUGCUUAGAUAUCACGAAGAACCCCGAUUGCGAAGGCAGAUUACUAAACUGUGACUGACAUUGAUGCUCGAAAGUGUGGGUAUCAAACAGGAGUAGAUACCCUAGUAGUC
rnacentral:rRNA from 1 species